rnacentral:misc_RNA from 1 species
ACAUUAUUGAAUAAACCUGGCGUGAUUGUUGCUGGUCCUCUCGGGGGCAUGUGCACAUCCGUCAUCUUUAUCUUUCCACCUGUGCACAUUUUGUAGAUCUGAAAUUUUUUUUCGAGGCAACUCGUUUAUGAGGGACUGCUGUGCAUCACUGCCGGCUUCCCUUGGAUUUUCAGGUCUAUGUUUUCACAUACACCAUAAGAAUGUAAUAGAAUGUUAUAUUGGGCCUUGUGCCUAUAAACUAUAUACAACUUUCAGCAACGGAUCUCUUGGCUCUCGCAUCGAUGAAGAACGCAGCGAAAUGCGAUAAGUAAUGUGAAUUGCAGAAUUCAGUGAAUCAUCGAAUCUUUGAACGCACCUUGCGCUCCUUGGUAUUCCGAGGAGCAUGCCUGUUUGAGUGUCAUUAAAUUCUCAACCUUAUUAGCUUUUGUUGAUAAUGGCUUGGAUGUGGGGGUUACUUUGCUGGUUUCUUUAAUGAGAUCAGCUCCCCUUAAAUGUAUUAGCUGGUUGCCUUGUGCAGACUUGUCUAUUGGUGUGAUAAUUAUCUACGCCGUGGACUUCUGCCAGAAUUAGCACCGCUUCUAACUGUCUG